CCCCGUCUGGUAUAAUGGUUAUUGCGUUUGCCUUCAAACUUUAUGAGCGUGAGUUCGAUCCCCGGCUCGGAGA